UACGUAGGGUGCGAGCGUUAAUCGGAAUUACUGGGCGUAAAGUGUGCGCAGGUGGCCGCGCAAGUCGAGUGUGAAAUCCCCGAGCUUAACUUGGGAAUUGCGCUCGAAACUACGUGGCUCGAGUGUGGCAGAGGAAGGUGGAAUUCCACGUGUAGCGGUGAAAUGCGUAGAGAUGUGGAGGAACACCGAUGGCGAAGGCGGCAUCCUGGACCGGUAUUGACGCUGAUGCGCGAAAGCCAGGGGAGCAAACGGG
rnacentral:rRNA from 1 species